rnacentral:rRNA from 1 species
AGUGAACGCCGGCGGUAGGCCUAACACAUGCAAGUCGAACGGCAGCACAGUAAGAGCUUGCUCUUACGGGUGGCGAGUGGCGGACGGGUGAGGAAUACAUCGGAAUCUACUUUUUCGUGGGGGAUAACGUAGGGAAGCUUACGCUAAUACCGCAUACGACCUACGGGUGAAAGCAGGGGAUCUUCGGACCUUGCGCGAUUGAAUGAGCCGAUGUCGGAUUAGCUAGUUGGCGGGGUAAAGGCCCACCAAGGCGACGAUCCGUAGCUGGUCUGAGAGGAUGAUCAGCCACACUGGAACUGAGACACGGUCCAGACUCCUACGGGAGGCAGCAGUGGGGAAUAUUGGACAAUGGGCGCAAGCCUGAUCCAGCCAUACCGCGUGGGUGAAGAAGGCCUUCGGGUUGUAAAGCCCUUUUGUUGGGAAAGAAAAGCAGCAGGUUAAUACCCCGCUGUUCUGACGGUACCCAAAGAAUAAGCACCGGCUAACUUCGUG